UACAGAGGUCCCAAGCGUUGUUCGGAUUCACUGGGCGUAAAGGGUGCGUAGGCGGUGAGGUAAGUCGGAUGUGAAAUCCCGGGGCUCAACCCCGGAACUGCAUUCGAUACUGCCUUGCUUGAGCACUGGAGAGGAGACUGGAAUUUACGGUGUAGCAGUGAAAUGCGUAGAUAUCGUAAGGAAGACCAGAGGCGAAGGCGGCUACCUGGACAAUUGCUGACGCUCAGGCACGAAAGCGUGGGGAGCAAAAGGG
rnacentral:rRNA from 1 species